rnacentral:rRNA from 1 species
CGCCCUUGAGUUUGAUCAUGGCUCAGAACGAACGCUGGCGGCAGGCUUAACACAUGCAAGUCGAACGCCCCGCAAGGGGAGUGGCAGACGGGUGACUAACACGUGGGAACGUGCCCUAAGGUUUGGAAUAUUCCCGGGAAACUGGGAGCAAUACCAAAUGUGUCCGCAAGGAGAAAGAUUUAUCGCCUUAGGAUCGGCCCGCGUCAGAUUAGGUAGUUGGUGGGGUAAUGGCCUACCAAGCCGACGAUCUGUAGCUGGUCUGAGAGGACGACCAGCCACACUGGGACUGAGACACGGCCCAGACUCCUACGGGAGGCAGCAGUGGGGAAUCUUGGACAAUGGGCGCAAGCCUGAUCCAGCCAUGCCGCGUGGAUGAUGAAGGCCCUAGGGUUGUUUUUUUUUUUCGUUGGGGACGAUAAUGACGGUACCCAAAGAAGAAGCUCCGGCUAACUUCGUGCCAGCAGCCGCGGUA